CAUGCAUGUUAGGAGCUUCACGCUUCUGUAGUUUCUCAAUGCCUGUGGGAGGCAGAAUCAUCUCUAAGAUGGUCCCUGUCCUGAAUGGAACAUGCUUCAUGCAUGUUAGGAGCUUCAUGCUUCUGUAGUUUCUCAAUGCCUGUGGGAGGCAGCAUCAUCUCUCAGAUGGUCCCUGUCCUGAAUGGAACGUGCUUCACGCAUGUUAGGAGCUUCAUGCUUCUGUAGUUUCUCAAUGCCUGUGGGAGGCAGCAUCAUCUCUCAGAUGGUCCCUGUCCUGAAUGGAACGUGCUUCACGCAUAUUAGGAGCUUCAUGCUUCUGUAGUUUCUCAAUGCCUGUGGGAGGCAGAAUCAUCUCUAAGAUGGUCCCUGUCCUGAAUGGAACGUGCUUCACGCAUGUUAGGAGCUUCAUGCUUCUGUAGUUUCUCAAUGCCUGUGGGAGGCAGCAUCAUCUCUCAGAUGGUGGCUGUCCUGAAUGGAACAUGCUUCACGCAUGUUAGGAGCUUCAUGCUUCUGUAGUUCCUUAAUGCCUGUAAGAGGCAGCAUCAUCCCUAAGAUGGUGGCUUUAUUGUAUGGAACAUGUUUCAUGCAUGUUCCAUUCUGCCCUCUGAAGAAUGCUUUGACAAGAAGAAACAGAAUUGGCACACCUUUCUCAAGGACCUCCAUGCCUGAAUAUUGAUGUUGGAACGUUUUCUCCUCCCAAGCGGCGUCUCUGGCAGAUUUCAAGAAAGAACGAAAAGAAUCUGAAGAAAGAACGAAAGGAAGCAACAAUGCACGACAGAAGCCGAACCAGGGCUCCAUUGACAAAUGGUCCCUGUCCUGAAUGGAACAUGCUUCACGCAUGUUAGGAGCUUGAUGCUUCUGUAGUUUCUCAAUGCCUGUGGGAGGCAGCAUCAUCUCUAAGAUGGUCCCUGUCCUGAAUGGAACGUGCUUCACGCAUGUUAGGAGCUUCAUGCUUCUGUAGUUUCUCAAUGCCUGUGGGAGGCAGCAUCAUCUCUAAGAUGGUGGCUGUCUUGGAUGAAACAUGCUUCAUGCAUGUUAGGAGCUUCACGCUUCUGUAGUUUCUCAAUGCCUGUGGGAGGCAGCAUCAUCUCUAAGAUGGUCCCUGUCCUGAAUGGAACAUGCUUCAUGCAUGUUAGGAGCUUCAUGCUUCUGUAGUUUCUCAAUGCCUGUGGGAGGCAGCAUCAUCUCUCAGAUGGUGGCUGUCUUGAAUGAAACAUGCUUCACGCAUGUUAGGAGCUUCAUGCUUCUGUAGUUUCUCAAUGCCUGUGGGAGGCAGCAUCAUCUCUCAGAUGGUGGCUGUCUUGGAUGAAACAUGCUUCACGCAUGUUAGGAGCUUCAUGCUUCUGUAGUUCCUUAAUGCCUGUAAGAGGCAGCAUCAUCCCUAAGAUGGUGGCUUUAUUGUAUGGAACAUGUUUCAUGCAUGUUCCAUUCUGCCCUCUGAAGAAUGCUUUGACAAGAAGAAACAGAAUUGGCACACCUUUCUCAAGGACCUCCAUGCCUGAAUAUUGAUGUUGGAACGUUUUCUCCUCCCAAGCGGCGUCUCUGGCAGAUUUCAAGAAAGAACGAAAAGAAUCUGAAGAAAGAACGAAAGGAAGCAACAAUGCACGACAGAAGCCAAACCAGGGCUCCAUUGACAAAUGGUCCCUGUCCUGAAUGGAACAUGCUUCACGCAUGUUAGGAGCUUCAUGCUUCUGUAGUUUCUCAAUGCCUGUGGGAGGCAGCAUCAUCUCUAAGAUGGUCCCUGUCCUGAAUGGAACGUGCUUCACGCAUGUUAGGAGCUUCACGCUUCUGUAGUUUCUCAAUGCCUGUGGGAGGCAGCAUCAUCUCUAACAUGGUCCCUGUCCUGAAUGGAACGUGCUUCACGCAUGUUAGGAGCUUCAUGCUUCUGUAGUUUCUCAAUGCCUGUGGGAGGCAGCAUCAUCUCUCAGAUGGUGGCUGUCUUGGAUGAAACAUGCUUCAUGCAUGUUAGGAGCUUCACGCUUCUGUAGUUUCUCAAUGCCUGUGGGAGGCAGAAUCAUCUCUAAGAUGGUCCCUGUCCUGAAUGGAACAUGCUUCAUGCAUGUUAGGAGCUUCAUGCUUCUGUAGUUUCUCAAUGCCUGUGGGAGGCAGCAUCAUCUCUCAGAUGGUCCCUGUCCUGAAUGGAACGUGCUUCACGCAUGUUAGGAGCUUCAUGCUUCUGUAGUUUCUCAAUGCCUGUGGGAGGCAGCAUCAUCUCUCAGAUGGUCCCUGUCCUGAAUGGAACGUGCUUCACGCAUAUUAGGAGCUUCAUGCUUCUGUAGUUUCUCAAUGCCUGUGGGAGGCAGAAUCAUCUCUAAGAUGGUCCCUGUCCUGAAUGGAACGUGCUUCACGCAUGUUAGGAGCUUCAUGCUUCUGUAGUUUCUCAAUGCCUGUGGGAGGCAGCAUCAUCUCUCAGAUGGUGGCUGUCGUGAAUGGAACAUGCUUCACGCAUGUUAGGAGC